UACCAGCACCCCGAGUGGUCGGGACGUUUAUUGGGCCUAAAGCAUCCGUAGCCGGUUCUACAAGUCUUCCGUUAAAUCCAGCUGCUUAACAGAUGGGCUGCGGAAGAUACUAUGGAGCUAGGAGGCGGGAGAGGCAAGCGGUACUCAGUGGGUAGGGGUAAAAUCCGUUGAUCCAUUGAAGACCACCAGUGGCGAAGGCGGCUUGCCAGAAUGCGCUCGACGGUGAGGGAUGAAAGCUGGGGGAGCAAACCGG
rnacentral:rRNA from 1 species